UAGACAGAUGCUUGUUGGUUUARGCGCUUAGCUGUUAACUAGGAUUUUGUAGGAUCGAAGCCUACCUGUCUAG
rnacentral:tRNA from 1 species